CUGAAUUAAUGAAUCCAAGAACAAGAGUGAAUAUGAUGAACAAGUAAGCUAGGAUAUAUAUAUUAUUGUGGUAUAUAGUAUAUAGUAAUGAGGUAGCUAGCGAGAUCCAUCUUGGACAUUACGCCAAAUUUGAGCGGCUAAAUGGGUUGCAAUGCCGGGAUCUACUUUGCAACUUUGUGCAGCCUGCCUAACCAUUACAUCGAAGAAGCAAGGAUCACUAACAUAAUUGUAAAGCAAUAAGGUGCAACCACCC
rnacentral:lncRNA from 1 species